rnacentral:rRNA from 1 species
GGUAACAGGUCUUCGGAUGCUGACGAGUGGCGCACGGGUGAGUAACGCGUACAUAACCUACCUUUUACAGGGGGAUAGCCUUGGGAAACUGAGAAUAAUACCCCAUAGUAUUACUGAAUCGCAUGGUUUAGUAAUUAAAGUGUUAGCGGUAAAAGAUGGAUGUGCGUACCAUUAGAUAGUUGGUGAGGUAACGGCUCACCAAGUCGACGAUGGUUAGGGGGCGUGAGAGCGUGAUCCCCCACACGGGUACUGAGACACGGACCCGACUCCUACGGGAGGCAGCAGUAAGGAAUAUUGGACAAUGGACGAAAGUCUGAUCCAGCCAUCCCGCGUGCAGGAUGACGGCCCUAUGGGUUGUAAACUGCUUUUAUGAGAGAAGAAACGCCUUAAUUUAUUUAGGGUCUGACGGUAUCUCAUGAAUAAGCACCGGCUAACUCCGUGCCAGCAGCCGCGGUAAU